rnacentral:rRNA from 1 species
GCAGCAGUGGGGAAUAUUAGACAAUGGGCGAAAGCCUGAUCUAGCCAUGCCGCAUGAGUGAAGAAGGCCUUUGGGUUGUAAAGCUCUUUUAGUGAGGAAGAUAAUGACGGUACUCCAGAAGAAGCCCCGGCUAACUCCGUGCCAGCAGCCGCGGUAAUACGGAGGGUGCUAGCGUUAUUCGGAAUUACUGGGCGUAAAGCGCACGUAGGUGGUGCAAUAAGUUAGAGGUGAAAUCCCGAAGCUCAACUUCGGAACGGCCUUUAAUACUGUUGCACUAGAGAAUGUGAGAGGAUAGAGGAAUUCCUAGUGUAGAGGUGAAAUUCGUAAAUAUUAGGAGGAACACCAGUGGCGAAGGCGUCUCACUGGCUCAAUUCUGACGCUGAGGCACGAAGGCGUGGGGAGCAAACAGGAUUAGAUACCCUUGUAGUC